AGACACCCUUCUGGGGCAAGACUUGCUUCAGUGGGGCUUUGGUGCUCACUGAGUCUGCCCUCUGAAUGUGACCCU
rnacentral:pre_miRNA from 1 species